rnacentral:tRNA from 1 species
CGGGGUGUGGCUCAGCAUGGUAGAGCACACGGUUCGGGACCGUGAGGUCGCUGGUUCGAAUCCAGUCACCCCGA